rnacentral:rRNA from 1 species
UGGGGAAUCUUGGACAAUGGGGGCAACCCUGAUCCAGCCAUGCCGCGUGAGUGAUGAAGGCCUUAGGGUCGUAAAGCUCUUUCGCCUGUGAAGAUAAUGACGGUAGCAGGUAAAGAAACCCCGGCUAACUCCGUGCCAGCAGCCGCGGUAAUACGGAGGGGGUUAGCGUUGUUCGGAAUUACUGGGCGUAAAGCGCACGUAGGCGGACCAGAAAGUUGGGGGUGAAAUCCCGGGGGCUCAACCCCGGAACUGCCUCCAAAACUAUUGGUCUAGAGUUCGAGAGAGGUGAGUGGAAUUCCAAGUGUAGAGGUGAAAUUCGUAGAUAUUUGGAGGAACACCAGUGGCGAAGGCGGCUCACUGGCUCGAUACUGACGCUGAGGUGCGAAAAGUGUGGGGAGCAAACAGGAUUAGAUACCCUGGGUAGUCCACACCGUAAAACGAUGAAUGCCAGUCGUCGGGUAGCAUGCUAUUCGGUGACACACCUAACGGAUUAAGCAUUCCGCCUGGGGAGUACGGUCGCAAGAUU